rnacentral:tRNA from 1 species
GUGGUGACUCAGUGGUAGAGCGCUUGCCUAGCAUGCAUGAGGUACUGGGUUCGAUCCUCAGCACCACA